GCAGGCAUGGCCGAGUGGUUUAAGGCGAUGGUUUUAAGUUCUCAAAAAAGAGUAUGUUUGUUCAUACUACUUUAACAACUUUUCACCAUUAUCGAGAGAUGCGUGGGUUCGAACCCCACUGCCUGCA